rnacentral:rRNA from 1 species
UGGGGAAUAUUGCGCAAUGGGGGGAACCCUGACGCAGCCAUGCCGCGUGAAUGAAGAAGGCCUUAGGGUUGUAAAGUUCUUUCGGUAUUGAGGAAGGUUGAUGUGUUAAUAGCACAUCAAAUUGACGUUAAAUACAGAAGAAGCACCGGCUAACUCCGUGCCAGCAGCCGCGGUAAUACGGAGGGUGCGAGCGUUAAUCGGAAUAACUGGGCGUAAAGGGCACGCAGGCGGUUAUUUAAGUGAGGUGUGAAAGCCCCGGGCUUAACCUGGGAAUUGCAUUUCAGACUGGGUAACUAGAGUACUUUAGGGAGGGGUAGAAUUCCACGUGUAGCGGUGAAAUGCGUAGAGAUGUGGAGGAAUACCGAAGGCGAAGGCAGCCCCUUGGGAAUGUACUGACGCUCAUGUGCGAAAGCGUGGGGAGCAAACAGGAUUAGAUACCCUGGUAGUCCACGCUGUAAACGCUGUCGAUUUGGGGGUUGGGGUUUAACUCUGGCGCCCGUAGCUAACGUGANAAAUCGACCGCCUGGGAGUACGCNCAAGCUG